AUUGAUGGGUGAAUGGAUUGCCCAUGUAAAAGCUAUUUAAUUCGGUGAACCCUAAGUUGAUUUUUUAAUACGGGAAUACCGAGCGAAGCUAGUUUGGAAACGACUAGAACGUGUAACGACUAGACAAAGUAUACUAAGUAAAAGUAUUUUUAUAUGUUGAAAUGUCCACGAACAGUAGCAAGCUCAAUUUAUAUUGAACUUAAGAUAUAGUCUGAACUAUAUAGAAAUAUAUAG
rnacentral:ncRNA from 1 species